UGCCUUUGUGUUGCCCUUUCAUGCUUUUUCUUCAUGAACAGGGUGUCUAUUAAGGCAUAACAGUGACUCCUGCAGUUGUGAUAGAAAUGAAUCUUCAUUGAUCUGUUUCUGCACAAAAGGACUGCAAGCACAAAU
ensembl:snoRNA